AAAUCCUUCAAUCCAGUAUAGAACACCAAGUGUUUGAUGGAAUGCCUAUUCCAACUACUCAACACAAACUACACUGAAUCAAAAUUACACCGUCUCAGAUCAACCACUCCACUACUCAACUUCUCUUAUUUCGAAGAUUAACAGAACAGAAAAAUUGUAAUUAAAAUUGCACGUAAAUGUAAAUUGAAACGCACCUAUUAAAUUCACAGAAACUGAAUGGCACUGGACUUCGCUACACCUUCAACUCACACAAUUCUAAUUCAUGCUUAUUGAACAAACACCUUGGCUGCAAUGAAUCAAUUCAUACGAAACACUACAGUUCCUUUUUGGUUAGUGCUCGCUGAAUCUCAAAUUCUCCAGCAAAUCGCUUCAAAUCGAUCGUCUUCUCCGUUAACCGGUUUCGCCGGAAAACUGAAACUCCUCUGUUACUGAUUCUUCCAGCAACGCACCAAAUCUCAAGCAAAUUAUGAUUUCGGCGGUUCAAAUCUCCUUACCGCAAUAUCUCAUUCAGUGUUCUCCAAUCACUUGAUUUAAAAAUCGUUCCAGAGAAUGAAGAAUGUAGAUGAAAACGCACCGGAAACUCACAGUUUCAACGAUUUAGGUCGCCGGAAAACACAACUCCUCGCUGAUUUAGGUCACUGGAAACCGCAAAAACCUCUGUCCACUGAUUAUGUUCGCCGGAAGCCGCAAAACCUCCUUACACCAAUUUCGUUUGCCAAAAAUCGCAAAACACCUCCGUUCGUGAUUCCUCCAACACCACACCGCUUCAAUUAGAUUUCACACCGAACAAAUUCUUCGUCAAACUUAUGUUUCUCACCUUCGCACCAAACUCAGCUCACACGUUUUCAAAAUCACAUCAAGAAUGAAGAACAAGAUGAACGGAUUGAAAACGCAUAUGAACGUGAACGUGCAACAGAUUUUCGUGAAAUUUUGACAAUACAAACGGAUUCGGAACUGCUAUUCGCACCACAGAUCCAAUGAGAUCUCACAAACAAGUCCAAACUCUUCUUCACACCUGGAAAUUUCUUUUAGAACCACGAACAAUUUUCGGAAAAUUUUUCGAGAAUUUUCGAAAAUGAAUUUUGAGAGAGUAAUAAUGGAAACCUAACUCAAAGAAAAUUGCUAAUGAUCUAGUAGCAAUUUAUGAACUCAAAAAUGAAAAUCAAAAGCACUCAAGAGCUCUAAUCUAUGAAGAAAUUUGAAAAAAAACUUCAAAA
rnacentral:lncRNA from 1 species